rnacentral:lncRNA from 1 species
GCACUUCCGGGGCAGCGCGGCAUGGCGGCGGGAGGGCGGUGUCUGAAAGAGGACUCCCCGUUGGAAUUUGUACCGAGAAAACCCCAGGCAGGAUUCAAUCCAGUUGCAGAAAGUGCAGAGGGGAGAAACUCUCUGGGAGCUGGAGGAAGCUGCUUGCGCUGAGGUAGCCGUGCCCAGCACUGGCCCUGCAGCAUCUCCGCCCCUCAGCAAGGAGCUGCAACACCACCGCAUGCCCGUCGCGUCAGUGCAGCUGAAGUGUUCCUGGGCUCUGGGUCUGACCCACACGCACCUCAUUUAGCAUGCGCUUCGUGUCCUGCUGACCGCUCUGUGCCCCAGCUGCUGCCUCCCUCUUCCCCGCUGCCAGCUGCCUGCUUCAUGGCAGGAGGAGAUGCUCUCUUGCUGUCACUGAACAUGUGCAGUAGGGAAAGGACGCUCAUGUACUCCACAGGCCUGCAGUGACUGACAUCCUUCCGGGUACCUGGGUGUCCUCUGAAAGUUGUGUCCUGCAAUUCUUACCUACCAGGUCUUUGCCACCAAGGCUGGCUAAGAUGCUUUGGCAAAUACUGGAGAUGUUAUGUUGGGAUUGUUGAGUGCAAGGGCUUUAUAAGCGAGGUAACAAACAGCCUUGUUGAGGAAGGUUGUUCUCCAUAACAUAUUUCCUCAGAGACUCUGGAAGUUUUGUUCAAAACUCAGUUGAGCAUUAUAGUGUAGGUAAUGAUAGAAUCACAAGGUUGGAAGGGACCUGCAAGAUCAUCUAGUCCAACCGUCCUCCCAUCACCGUUGCUACCACAAGCUACUAAACCGUAUCUCAUAGCUCCUCAUCCAGAUGCCUCUUGAACACUACCAGGGACAGUGACUCCACGACCUCCCUGGGCAGGCCAUUCCAGUGCCUGACCACUCUCUGAGAGAAAAAGUUUUUCCUUGUGUCUAAUCUAAAUCUCCUGUGGGGCAACUUGUGGCAAAGGUCCUGUUUGUUGCCUGUGAGAAGAGGCCAAACCCCUCCUCCUCACAGCUUCCCUUCAGGAAGCUGUAGAGUGCAGUGAGGUCUCCUCUGAACCUCCUCUUCUCCAGACUGAACAAUCCCAGCUCCCUCA